AUUUUGAUAAUUCUUUUUUUAUUGGAAAGAAGAUAUCCUUAGUUUAGUACCAUGAUAAGGAAACCAGGAUCUGAUGAUGGGAUCCCAGAGAAAUCGAGGGAACUUCUUGAAAAUCCGCAAUAACUUUCUACUGGUUGUACCGAUUUUAAUAAUUUUUAAUUUAAUCGAAAGCUGAUGCUUAUCAUGUGAUCACAUAUAAAUUUUAUCGAGAUCUGAUAACUACUUUUUGAGUAAUCUUUGAUAACGCGUAG
rnacentral:misc_RNA from 1 species